CUUUUUUUUUCUUUUAUAUUUCUUUCAGGUACUUCCUACUCCCUACCGCAGAACAGGAUUCGUCAUUUAAGCAGCAACAGGCGUCCGCAACAAAAUUUCUUAUGAGAAUAUUCCCCGGAAUAUUCGAGUAAGAAACAAAAAGGUCGCCUGUGGUUGUAUUUCUACUAAAUCUUUGAAACAGUGGGAAUGAUGGAGUUUUCUAUAGCUUAAGGCAUAGAAUGAUGACAUGGAUGGGCCAUACGAUUUCCGGUACACGUGCUUCGAAUUUUGCAACAUGAAACCAGCAAGAACCAUCAUUUAGUUGCUCAAAGAUGUCGGUGUUCAAACUGAGCACCGGCUUCUAAAUGUUCUUACCCGGUGAAAAUGGGAAUUCUUGCCUGGUGAAAAAUGAUUUUCGCUAAAAUGAAACUCCAACCCAGGCGGAAUAGUUUUGGUGCCAAAAAAAAUUGUUUGACUACCAUUUUGAACUUGGUUGCACUAA